rnacentral:tRNA from 1 species
UCCCCGAUAGCUCAGCCGGUAGAGCAAGUGGCUGUUAACCACUGGGUCGUUGGUUCGAGUCCGACUCGGGGAGCCA